rnacentral:rRNA from 1 species
UGCCCGGACGUAACACGGCACCCCCCCGCCCGCCAAAUAACUACGAGUGAAAACUUAAAACUUAAAGGACUUGACGGUACUUCACACCCAACCUAGAGGAGCCUGUCUACUAACCGAUAAUCCACGAUUAACCCAACCACUUCUAGCCACCCAGCCUAUAUACCACCGUCGCCAGCCUACCUCGUAAAAGAAACAAAGUGAGCUUAACAGUACUACACUAACACGACAGGUCAAGGUGUAACUAAUGAAGCGGACCAAGAUGGGCUACAUUCUCUACCCCAGAUUACACGAACAAGGCUAUGAAAUUAACCUUUAAAGGCGGAUUUAGCAGUAAGCUGAGAACAAAAUACUCAACUGAAACCAAUGCAAUGAAGUGCGUACACACCGCCCGUCACCCUCUGCAGUCACUUUA